GCUGGGCAUGGUGGCUCAUGCCUGUAAUCCCAGCACUUUGGGAGGCUGAGGCGGGUGGAUCACCUGAGGUCAGGAGUUCAAGACCAGCCUGACCAACAUGGUGAAACCCUGUCUCUA
rnacentral:SRP_RNA from 1 species